CUACGGGACGCAGCAGUGGGGAAUAUUGGACAAUGGGGGAAACCCUGAUCCAGCAAUGCCGCGUGUGUGAAGAAGGCCUUAGGGUUGUAAAGCACUUUCACCCGUGAAGAUGAUGACGGUAGCGGGAGAAGAAGCCCCGGCUAACUCCGUGCCAGCGAGCCGCGGUAAUACGGAGGGGGCUAGCGUUGUUCGGAAUUACUGGGCGUAAAGCGCGCGUAGGCGGCGCAUCGAGUUAGGCGUGAAAGGCCUGGGCUUAACCUGGGAACUGCGCUUAAUACUGGUGUGCUUGAGUCCGGAAGGGGGUGGCGGAAUUCCCAGUGUAGAGGUGAAAUUCGUAGAUAUUGGGAAGAACACCGGUGGCGAAGGCGGCCACCUGGUCCGGAACUGACGCUGAGGUGCGAAAGCGUGGGGAGCAAACAGGAUUAGAUACCCGAGUAGUC
rnacentral:rRNA from 1 species